rnacentral:snoRNA from 1 species
UCUGCCCCUACAUGCAUUGCAGGUGUGGCUGCUGUGUCAUAUGUGCAUCAAUAGGUGGCAAAGAGGUAAUGUUGUUACCUAUGAACAUAUAAGCAGUUAGUAGCCUAACAUU